rnacentral:rRNA from 1 species
UACGUAGGGUGCAAGCGUUGUCCGGAAUUAUUGGGCGUAAAGAGCUCGUAGGCGGUCUGUCGCGUCGGCUGUGAAAACCUGGGGCUUAACUCCGGGCCUGCAGCCGAUACGGGCAGACUAGAGUUCGGCAGGGGAGACUGGAAUUCCUGGUGUAGCGGUGAAAUGCGCAGAUAUCAGGAGGAACACCGGCGGCGAAGGCGGGUCUCUGGGCCGAUACUGACGCUGAGGAGCGAAAGCGUGGGGAGCAAACAGG